UUUUAACACGAACGUUUUAUUAUGGCUGCACCAACAAAUUCAGAAAAGAAUGCAGAGCUAAAGCCACCACCUGGAUUGAAGUCUCUCAUUGAUCACCUGAUAUCUGUGUAUCCGGAUCAGCCGAACCCCUUGCAGGUGACGACACUGCUUAAAUACUGGCUGGGUGGCUCCGAUCCGCUCGACUAUAUAAGCAUGUACAGCAACAGGGGCCAGGGCGAGGGCGAAUCAGAGAGAAUACCCCCGCACUGGCAUUAUGUUAGCUUCGGGCUUAGCGACUUGCAUGGCGAUCAGCGCGUCCAUCUCAAAGAGGAGCACACCACCCGCUCGGGCAUGGGUUUUGAGCUGACUUUUCGGUUGGCUAAGACUGAUGCUGAGCUACGCCAGCAACAGGAAUGCCCAGAAAAAUCGAUCAGGCCACCCACCUGGCCUGCAAAUCUGCUGCAAUCUAUUGCGCGCUACUGUUUCCAAACUGGCAACGGUCUGUGCUUUGGCGACAAUAUCCCUUGGCGCAAGGGUUUGGACGGCAGCGCCAAUUCGCGCAUGCAAAGCCUGCUGGUGGCACAGGAUCCACAAUUGGGUUCAAUUGACACACCCUUUGGCACUGUGGACUUUUGUCAGAUAGUUGGCGUAACCGAGGAGGAACUGGAACAGGCUUCACGCUGGAACGGCCGUGGCGUCUUGAAUUUUUUGUCUAAAGACGUGCAGACAGGCGGCGAUUGGCUGGUUACCAAUAUGCAGCGCACAAUGAGCGUGUUCGAAUUGUUUCCAGAGACAUUGCUAAAUCUUCAAGACGACCUAGAGAAACAGGGCUCUGACCUGGCUGGCGUCAAUGCGGAGUUUACGUUUCGUGAGCUCAAGCCAACCACAACCAUUAAAGAGGAGGUGGACUUUCGGUGCCUGAACGAGCGCUGCGCCAGUGAAGAGAAUAAUCGGCAGUUGAUUGAAUCACAAAUGAAGCGCGAGGAGCCCAGUUUUCCACAGUCCAUGUCGAUGAGCAGCAACUCGUUGCAUAAAUCAUGCCCGCUGGACAAUCAGCCACAGGCGCCCGAUUGCAUAUCGCUGGAUGGCAUUGAAAUAACGCUGGCGCCCUAUGCGGCCAAGUACUUGCUGCUGGCCAUAAAGGAUCGCAUACGCCAUGGCCGGCAUUUCACAUUUAAAGCACAGCAUCUGGCCUUGACCCUGGUCGCAGAAACUGUAACGGGAGCCGCCGUCACCGUCAGCGAGCCCUUUGGCGUGCUUGGCUAUUGGAUACAGGUGCUCAUACCAAAUGAUCUGGUGCCACGCAUGAUGGAGGCAUUUCGCAAUGCACAACUGGAUGGCAAAACGGAACCCACACAGCGUCUGGAAUUCGAUUGGCCUGAUAAGCACUUUAAGCUUAUUGUAGAUCAGCCGCCCUGCGCGCUGCCCACGGCCAUGUCCAUUGAGGCGGCGCCUGUGAAUUGAAGAGCGACUGUUUGAAAAGCUCAAUUCUUAGUAUUAUACUUAUAACUAAAAUGAAUCUUCCACUAACACUAGACACGUUUGUGCGAAAUACAUAAAACUCAAAAACCACUUUGCGUA